GCCCCUGUAGUUCAACGGAUAGAACAUGGGUUUGCGGAGCCCAUGAUCGAGGUUCAAUUCCUCGCGGGGGCA
rnacentral:tRNA from 1 species